rnacentral:rRNA from 1 species
CCAAUAGCGUAUAUUAAAGUUGUUGCAGUUAAAAAGCUCGUAGUUGAAUUUCGGGAUCAAUUAAUCGGUCGUGCCUCUGGUACGCACUGGUUUUAUUGGUUUCUCCCUUCUGACGAACCAGGAUGUCAUUAAUUUGGUGUCUUGGAGAAUCAGGACUGUUACUUUGAAAAAAUUAGAGUGUUUAAAGCAGGCUUCUAGGCAUGAAUACAUUAGCAUGGAA